CUCCUUUUCACACACGUUAAAUGAACAAUAAGUGAAGUUCGCAGUUCCACUCCCUCCUGCCCCCUCCCCUCCAUACUGCUAUCCUCCAACUGUCCCUGUUAAGGCAUCCUCUGAUGAUCCAGUCAAUCCAAAAGAAAAUAGAAGACUACUGUGACUACUGUGCAUAGGCAAACCCUUCUCGGCAGCUGCAGAUCCUGAGACCCACGGCGGAACCUGAGACAGAAGAGAGAAAAGGUGAAAGAUCAGGCUCACACUACUCUGUGACUCGAGGCUGGGAGGCAUCCUAAUCCUCAGCCAAGGGGGAUUCCAAUGGUCUUCACCCUGGGUUAGCAACCAUUGCUUCAGGGAAGAAGUCGA